AUACGGAGGGUGCGAGCGUUAAUCGGAAUUACUGGGCGUAAAGGGCACGUAGGCGGUUUGUUAAGUCGGAUGUGAAAGCCCCGGGCUCAACCUGGGAACUGCAUUCGAUACUGGCAAACUAGAGUAUAGUAGAGGCAAGUGGAAUUCCGGGUGUAGCGGUGAAAUGCGUAGAUAUCCGGAGGAACAUCAGUGGCGAAGGCGACUUGCUGGACUAAUACUGACGCUGAGGAGCGAAAGCGUGGGGAGCAAACGGGAUUAGAAACCCCAGUAGUCC
rnacentral:rRNA from 1 species